GACGAACGCUGGCGGCGUGCCUAAUACAUGCAAGUUGAGCGCUGAAGGUUGGUACUUGUACCAACUGGAUGAGCAGCGCACGGGUGAGUAACGCGUGGGGAAUCUGCCUUUGAGCGGGGGACAACAUUUGGAAACGAAUGCUAAUACCGCAUAAAAACUUUAAACACAAGUUUUAAGUUUGAAAGAUGCAAUUGCAUCACUCAAAGAUGAUCCCGCGUUGUAUUAGCUAGUUGGUGGGGUAAAGGCUCACCAAGGCGAUGAUACAUAGCCGACCUGAGAGGGUGAUCGGCAACAGUGGGACUGAGACACGGCCCAAACUCCUACGGGAGGCAGCAGUAGGGAAGCUUCGGCAAUGGACGAAAGUCUGACCGAGCAACGCCGCGUGAGUGAAGAAGGUUUUCGGAUCGUAAAACUCUGUUGGUAGAGAAGAACGUUGGUGAGAGUGGAAAGCUCAUCAGGUGACGGUAACUACCCAGAAAGGGACGGCUAACUACGUG
rnacentral:rRNA from 1 species